rnacentral:rRNA from 1 species
GACGAACGCUGGCGGCGUGCUUAACACAUGCAAGUCGAACGGAAAGGCCCUGCUUUUGUGGGGUGCUCGAGUGGCGAACGGGUGAGUAACACGUGAGUAACCUGCCCUUGACUUUGGGAUAACUUCAGGAAACUGGGGCUAAUACCGUAUAGGAGCUCCUGCUGCAUGGUGGGGGUUGGAAAGUUUCGGCGGUUGGGGAUGGGCUCGCGGCUUAUCAGCUUGUUGGUGGGGUAGUGGCUUACCAAGGCUUUGACGGGUAGCCGGCCUGAGAGGGUGACCGGCCACAUUGGGACUGAGAUACGGCCCAGACUCCUACGGGAGGCAGCAGUGGGGAAUAUUGCACAAUGGGCGGAAGCCUGAUGCAGCAACGCCGCGUGCGGGAUGACGGCCUUCGGGUUGUAAACCGCUUUCGCCUGUGACGAAGCGUGAGUGACGGUAAUGGGUAAAGAAGCACCGGCUAACUACGUG